rnacentral:rRNA from 1 species
UGGGAAUUUUGGACAAUGGGCGAAGCCUGAUCCAGCAAUGCCGCGUGUGUGAAGAAGGCCUUCGGGUUGUAAAGCACUUUUGUCCGGAAAGAAAUCCUUGGCUCUAAUACAGUCGGGGGAUGACGGUACCGGAAGAAUAAGCACCGGCUAACUACGUGCCAGCAGCCGCGGUAAUACGUAGGGUGCAAGCGUUAAUCGGGAAUUACUGGGCGUAAAGCGUGCGCAGGCGGUUUGCUAAGACCGAUGUGAAAUCCCUGGGCUCAACCUGGGAACUGCAUUGGUGACUGGCAGGCUAGAGUAUGGCAGAGGGGGGUAGAAUUCCACGUGUAGCAGUGAAAUGCGUAGAGAUGUGGAGGAAUACCGAUGGCGAAGGCAGCCCCUGGCAAGUACUGACGCUCAUGCACG